GCCGAAAUCACGCAGGGGGAAAGUUGACUGCGCUAGACCAAUAGACGAGCUUUGUUAUGUUCUGUGAGUUAGUGCUGCAGCAGUGUCUACAAUCUCUGCUCUUAUGGAAACCUACAGACUGAAGAAGAAAAAAAAUUAUUUCUUCAAUGUCUUUGGUGUGCAGGCUUCAUGUGCAAUGAUAUGGAACUGACAGUAGUCAACCUAAGGCAAGGAUUACUAUCUCCGUGAUUUCAAACGACAGCGAAACGAACAACCUGAGUUUCACGAGUCAACAUUUUACGAGGUUAUUCCUUGUGAUUUACUUAAGAUGUUACUUUUCUUCAAGUUUAAACAACACUCGAUAAAAUUUCGGGCGAGAUGACUUUCGGGCGACUUGACCGUAAACCCUUGACUACGUAGUGGUGCAUUUGUGGCAAUUUAUAUAAAAUUCAUAGACCUUCGGCCAGUCGGAAGGGCAAAUAUCUUCAUCAUCAGUAGUUGUAUUGUCUUUAUGAGAGCAAAAUUUAAGAAAAUAGGAAUCUAGUCAGUAAGAAUUCUUUCAUGAUUUGAAGUUCAACUGAUCUCCUUUUUGGGUUUACAGUCAAGUCGCCCGAGAGUCAUCUCGCCCGAAGUCAUGUCGCCUGAAACCCGAGUCAAGUUGCCCGAAAUUUUAAAAAUGUCGCCCGAAAAAAACAGUCAAGUUGCCCGAAGAAACAAAUAUUUAAAGGAUCUGAAUUUCAGACUGUUAAUAGGCAAUAUCGGUGAGAAAUUUUUAUCACUAAAGCGCUCUUUGUUUCCGACAUCACCAUAAAGAUUCUUAAAGUGUUGUUCGUCGCCUAAUUCGAGAGAUUGUAGUAGACGCUAAUAAAAAGAAAAGGGCCAACAAGGACUGUAAUGUAGCGGUGUUGACAAGACGCCUAUAUGUCCUAUAGAAACUCACAACCAAGAUAUAUUCCAGAAAUUCUUAUAUGCAUGCCUCUUACCUUAAUUUUUGUAACUUAGUCCUGUACCCAACAAUCA